GCAUCCUUGGUGUAGCGGUAACACACUCCCUGCAUACUGUGGUCGUAAGGAAUUCAGGGUUCGAAUCCCUGGGGAUGCA